CCCGGCGACCGGCGCACGGGUGAGUAACACGUAUGGAACCUGCCCGCAGCAGGGGGAUAAGCGGAAGAAAUUCCGUCUAAUACCGCGUAACACCGCAGAGGGGCAUCCCUCGGCGGUUAAAGAUUCAUCGGCUGCGGAUGGCCAUGCGGCGCAUUAGCUAGUCGGCGGGGUAACGGCCCACCGAGGCGACGAUGCGUAGGGGUUCUGGGAGGAAGGUCCCCCACACUGGUACUGAGACACGGACCAGACUCCUACGGAAGGCAGCAG
rnacentral:rRNA from 1 species